CUGAGGUCCGUCUGCCGUAAACAGAGGGAGACUGUUCCCAUGAUGAAGAGGAGGGGCCACCGGUUUAAACGCCUUGAGGUCAAAGCUACAACUCAUCAGUUAAGAAAAUCACCUCCAGGAAAACAACAUUUAAAUAAAGAUACAACAGUGGCUCUGAUGCUGUCUGCUGGGCUGUGAUCGGGCGGCGGCUGGGGUGGAGGCUGGCUCAUAGUGGCUGCUGCAGCCUCGGGG